AAACGUACAACGUUUACAGGCGACUUGGAACUUAGCGUACAUCCAAUACCGGUCAUACAGUGGAGAAUAUAAUAGUAUAUAAUAUUAUAUCAUCGAUCAAGGCCGAUCGACAGGUGUGUAUAUGUAACGAGCGACAGUAAUAACGCCGAAGCUGCUGAACACCGGCUAUGGAGGCACAACGACGCACGUCGCGUAAAAGGCACUCGAUCGCUCAAGAACGACAAUUGAAUUUUUCUUGUCGAACAUAAUUUGCUGAUAGACUUCACCUACUAUGGAUAUCAUUCAAAAAGGUUUCAUAUAUUCCACCACUUCAAAACCUCAACAAGAUGCACAUGAAAACGAACGAAUUAAUUUUUUACUGCGCAUAAAGACGAAGAAUGGUUUUAGAAUAAAUACCAUCCUGAUGAUAGUGUAAUACAAAAGAGAAAGCGAACCCUAGCACUUAGAAACGGUUAGAUAUUUUUAAUGAAUUUUUGGCAAAUGGUAAAAUUGAUUCUGUCAGUGUGGAUACUAAUAAUCGAGAUCCUUUAGUUUUUCUUCUUGAUUGUGUCAUAAUAAAUCUUCAAGGAGGUAUAGUUUUUGAUUUAACAGUGUUUAAUCCUACUGAGACAUCAAAAACCCAACAGGAGCCAGAACAUGAGAAAAAAAUAAACUAAUAAAAAAAUUAAUGAUGGCGAAAAUUCUGAUAGUGAAGUGGGCAGUGAUGAAAAAGAUGGCCAUGAAACAAAUAAAAUAGACAAAUCUUUAGUCAAUAACACUGAAGAAGCAAUUGAUUUUCAAAAUCUAGAAAUGUUCAAUGUUUGGAAAGGUUGCGUAUGGACUGUGAAUGGAAUAACUAAUCACUUUCAAGUUGCUCGUAAUGAUUUGAAACUAUGUGCCUCUAUCAUCAACACCUUUGAUUACCACUCAGAUUUAUUGGAUUCAAUUGAAGGCGAGCAUCCAGCCUUUGAUAAAAUGUAUGGAGUACUUAGUAAUCUUAAAGAAGCACCGUCUGAAGAAGAAAUACUUUUAGGUGAAAGUGUUUCUUUUAAAUCCAAAGUUAUUACUGAAAUAUCUAUACAGCUGUUAAAGGCUUUAGAUAGAAUGAUACUUUAUAUACGUAUUUAACAUUCAAUUGACUUUUACGACUAUAUUGAGUAUGCGUAUGAAGAUCAUAUGCCAAGCGGAAGUAGUGUUAUUCAUGUCCGAGGUCCACAGACCCGUUACUUGCCUACACAACAAGAAAUCACUGAUUGCUGUAACUACUCUCAAAUAAAUGCUGAUUGACUGAUACAACUUAUGCAUUAACUGAAAGUUAAAUAACUCUGCUUGGAUGUGCGCAAAAAUAUUAUCAAGAAUUACAUUGAUAUACUGGAUAUUCUGAAAAAAGAACUGAAAUGUUUCAAUAAUUUUAUCCGGGAUCCGAAUAAACCAAAACAGAUACCUCAUUCAUACCUAUCUGCAAAUCGCUAUCAAAUGUCUGGUUAACAUUUCGUGUAAGUGGUACGGACCACUAGCUUGCAGAGGUUUUAACGUUUGUGGCGGUCGGCAGAUACCAUGGUUUUCUGUUAUUUUUGUGAUAACAAUUGUAUAGUGAAGGUACACCGGUGUGUUCAAGCAUUACACCACAUAAUAAUGUACCAUACCAAGAAAAAAUGUAUGAGAUGAAUUUGUGGUUAUUGUAACCCCUGUUGAUCAACUGUGUACGAAAUGUAUUUCACUUUUGACUCAUAUGGACAAGAUGGACAAUGAACUGAAACUUCUUAAAAAUAAAAUGUUGUCAUAUACACAAAAUAAAUAUGGAACAUUGCCCCCUGAUCAGGUUGUUAAUGGUGUUGAGAUUCUCAAUAGACACUUAAAGGAACAAGGGGAAAAAAAAGAGAAACAACUAGAAACUCCAUUAAAAUUAUUAAAAACACAACAGCAGGAACAACAACAACAACCACCAACACAACAAGAAAUUAAAAAUACAAAUUCCACAUGCACACUCAUAUGAACAAAACGCAGAUUGAAAUACCUAUUCUUAAUCAAGCAGGGGCUAAAUCAUUGUGUCCAGUAAGAAAAAAAAAAUGAUGCGCUUUUACUAUAUAGAUUUAGUAU